rnacentral:sRNA from 1 species
AGCAGGACUCUCUGUUAUAGAAACCACCAGCUUUGUGUCUCCUAAGUGGGUUCCCCAGAUGGGUGACCACACUGAAGUCUUGAAGGGCAUUCAGAAGUUUCCUGGCAUCAACUACCCAGUCCUGACCCCAAAUUUGAAAGGCUUCGAGGCAGCGGUAAGAGGAUAGCUUGUUGCUGGGGGCUCCUGAAAUGAGAUUGAUGGCAUUGGUCCCUGCCUUGUCUUGGGGCCUCAGACCCCUGUCCUGGGAUGUCCAUCUGAACAGCUUGUCUGUCAGCCAGACCCUGGGGCAAACUUUGCCCUGCCGCUCACUGCUCUGUGAUCUUGAGAAGUUGACGAGCCUAUAAAAUAGGGCUAAAUGAUAGUACCUGAAGUUGUGAGCAUUUCAGAAGAUAGGAUGCAUGUACAUUGCUUAGCAAGAGCCAGAUAAAAGGUAACUGCUUAAUAAAUGUUAGCUCUUUUGAUU